AGUGAACGCUGGCGGCGUGCUUAACACAUGCAAGUCGAACGAGAACGGAUUAUAGCUUGCUAUAAUUGUCAGCUAAGUGGCGCACGGGUGAGUAAUGUAUAGGUAAUAUGCCUCUUACUAAGGGAUAACAAUUGGAAACGUUUGCUAAUACCUUAUACUCCUUAUUAACAUAAGUUAAUAAGGGAAAGAUUUAUUGGUAAGAGAUUAGCCUGUAUUGUAUCAGUUAGUUGGUGGGGUAAUGGCUUACCAAGACUAUGACACAUAACUGGUUUGAGAGGAUGAGCAGUCACACUGGAACUGAGACACGGUCCAGACUCCUACGGGAGGCAGCAGUGGGGAAUAUUGCACAAUGGACGAAAGUCUGAUGCAGCAACGCCGCGUGGAGGAUGACACAUUUCGGUGCGUAAACUCCUUUUAUAUGAGAAGAUAAUGACGGUAUUAUAUGAAUAAGCACCGGCUAACUCCGUGCCAGCAGCCGCGGUAA
rnacentral:rRNA from 1 species